rnacentral:rRNA from 1 species
UACGAGUGGUGCAAGCGUUAUUCGGAAUCAUUGGGCGUAAAGGGUAUGUAGACGCAUGCCAAGUCAACUGUUUAAUUCUCCGGCCUAACCGGAGGCCAGCGGUAGAAACUAGCGUGCUUGAGGUUGGAAGAGAGAAGUGGAAUUCUCGGAGUAGCGGUAAAAUGCGUAGAUCUCGAGAGGAACACCAAUGGCGAAGGCAGCUUCUUGGUCCAUACCUGACGUUGAGACACGAAAGCGUGGGGAGCAAACAGG